UACGAGGGGGGCAAGCGUUGUUCGGAAUUAUUGGGCGUAAAGGGUGCGUAGGCGGUCUGACGAGUCUGAUGUGAAAUCUAUGGGCUCAACCCAUAGUCUGCAUCGGAAACUGUCGGGCUUGAGUAUGGGAGAGGUGAGUGGAAUUUCCGGUGGAGCGGUGAAAUGCGCAGAGAUCGGAAAGAACACCAACGGCGAAAGCACUCUGCUGGGCCGACACUGACACUGAGAGACGAAAGCUAGGGGAGCGAAUGGG
rnacentral:rRNA from 1 species